rnacentral:rRNA from 1 species
UACGUAGGGUGCAAGCGUUGUUCGGAAUCAUUGGGCGUAAAGAGCGUGUAGGUGGCUUGCCAAGUCAGAUGUGAAAGCCCUCGGCUCAACCGGGGAAGUGCAUUUGAAACUGGCAGGCUAGAGAACGGUAGAGGAAGGUGGAAUUCCAAGUGUAGAGGUGAAAUUCGUAGAUAUUUGGAGGAAUACCUGUGGCGAAGGCGGCCUUCUGGGCCGUUUCUGACACUGAGACGCGAAAGCGUGGGUAGCAAACAGG